AUGCUCACUUCUGAGCACACAGACUAAAGCUGGAACAGGACAGAGGUCAGUUUGGCCCCUGCACAAGGACGACAGGCAAACUUGUGAAGUGCUCCAUAUUUAA
ensembl:snRNA U6 U6 spliceosomal RNA